UCCAGAUUCUGCGCUCUGGGGCUUCCGGCGCUGGGGCUGGGAUCUCGGCUAGCUAGGUGUCGCCUCGCCGGUGGAGUCCCUACUGCUUGCGGACAUCUCAUGCGCCAUAGUAGCGCCCGACGCCGAACUGUGUCGACGGGGCGUUCUCUGAGGGAUUCAGGAUCACUCUGGAAGGGACCAGAGGCGAUUGAAAGAUUUAUUCAGCUUCUGAGGCCUAUAAGGUGAAACUGUUCUCGGCUUCAUGGAACUGUUCAGUGGAGUAAAAAAGGAACCAUCUGAUCUCCCGCCGCCUCGCUCCGCCCACUCCAGCCCACUUGUUUUCGGACCACAGAGAGGCAGCACAUCCCCACAAGCGGCUGUCAGGGAAGGUCCAAGCGCUAGAGUGCAAGAGCCUUUGCUUUGAGGAUUGCCGCAGCGCCGGGUGUGGGAGAAGGUGGGGCUACGGUUUUCGAAAUGGAGUGAACCUCAAAGCGGAGGGUGCCUAGCAAGAUACAGAUCUGGGAGGAGCAGAGAAAAAAACGCUCCUGCUUCUGGACUCCUCCCACCUCGCAUCACCUGACAAGUCUCUCAAGGUCUGGUGUAGAGAAACCCCACCUUUCCAAAGCCCCGCCCUUCGAAACAAAGUAACCUCCUCCCCUCCCAGUCGCAGUUUUUUGUUGUUGUUGUUGUUGUUUUUUUAACUGAGUGAGGGCUAGAAGGAGCAGUAGAGAUUGAUUGAUUCUAGCCAAGCCAUCUCUCUUAACUAAAAAAGGAAACGGAACCCCGAUUGGCGAAAUGUCUGGCUCAAGUACAUAAAACGAGUCCACCGGCUGAUCUGGACCCUUAGAAUCUACCCAUCCUUCUCCACCUCCCCUCCCGUACCUGUUGC